UUUUGGAUAGGUGUGGGCCCGCCCCGUCCCAAUUUCCUAGGAGGUAAGGGGUGUAUGUGUGUCAGCUCAAGGGUAAAGGUUUUGACAUACCUGACGGGCAUGGAAGUAGUAAGGCUUGUUUCACA
rnacentral:SRP_RNA from 16 species